rnacentral:rRNA from 1 species
GAGUCUGCGUUUCAUUAGCUAGUUGGUAGGGUAAUGGCCUACCAAGGCAACGAUGAGUAGCUGGUCUGAGAGGAUGAUCAGCCACACUGGAACUGAAACACGGUCCAGACUCCUACGGGAGGCAGCAGUGGGGAAUAUUGCGCAAUGGGCGAAAGCCUGACGCAGCAACGCCGUGUGAGGGAUGAAGGCUUUCGGGUCGUAAACCUCUGUCGGAAGGGAAGAACGGGCAUUGGUCUAAUAGGCCUUUGUUUUGACGGUACCUUUAGAGGAAGCACCGGCUAACUCCGUGCCAGCAGCCGCGGUAAUACGGAGGGUGCAAGCGUUAUUCGGAAUUACUGGGCGUAAAGCGCACGUAGGCCGCUUUGUAAGUCAGGGGUGAAAUCCCACGGCUCAACCGUGGAACUGCCUUUGAAACCGCAGAGCUUGAAUCCUGGAGAGGGUGGCGGAAUUCCUGGUGUAGGAGUGAAAUCCGUAGAUAUCAGGAGGAACACCGGUGGCGAAGGCGGCCACCUGGACAGGCAUUGACGCUGAGGUGCGAAAGUGUGGGGAGCAAACAGGAUUAGAUACCCUGGUAGUCCACACCGUAAACGAUGGACACUAGAUGUCGGGG